AUCUUCACCUGUAAUUGAACUGUCAUUUAAUUAUUUACAUCGAAUGAUGAAACAAAAUCGCCAGUUUAGCUAUAGUCACCUGAAUAUAUAUGUGGGGUUUCCGGUCACUAAAAGUUUCCGGAACGAAUAAGAAAAAAUACUAUUAAAAGUUCUAACCUGAUGUGUCAAUAUAAUAGACUUAGUAAUAUAGCUGUACCAACAUUGAACAUGCCAGUGUCUCAAAAUGAAGGAACCCCGAAAAUUUUUGUCAGCAAGUGAAAACGCACCUUUUCGAUGCCUACUGAACAAACUUUAUACAAAAGUUAGUCUAAUUGGCCAAUAAGCAAUUAUAUGCAACAAACGGGAAUGUGACGAUUAUGACGAUAAGUUUAAAGUUAAGGUAAAAAAGUAUUUCCACAAAUGUUAUAAACGAGAAAAUAAAUAAUUAAAAUCAACUAUUCA
rnacentral:misc_RNA from 1 species